UGUUUUGGGGUCACAUUGUUUUGGGGUCACCGUUUUGGUGUCCCAUUGUUAUGGGGUCCCAUUGUUAUGGGAUCACCGUUUUGGGGUUCCAUACUUUUGGGGUCCCGAAGUUUUGGGGUUUCGUAAUUUUGGGCUCCCAUUCUUUUGGGGUCCCAUUGUUAUGGAGUCACAGUUUUGGGGUCCCAUUCUUUUGGGGUCCUAUUGUUUUGGGGUCCCGAAGUUUUGGGGUCCCAUAAUUUUGGGGUCCCAGUUUUGGUGUACCGUCUUUUUAAGGUCCCAUUGCUUUGAGAUCCUGAAGUUUUGGGGUCCCAUAAUUUUGGGGUCCCAUUGUUUUGGGAUCCCAUAAUUUUGGGGUCCCUCUCUUUCGGUGCCCCAUUUUUUGGGAUCCCAAUUGUUUGGGACCACACAUUUUGGGGGUCCCUCUCUUUGGGGUUCCCACUUUUUAGGGUUUCCUCUUUUGGGGGGUUCCCCUCUUUGGAGUCCCACUUUUGGGGUCUCUCUCUUUGGGGUCCCACUUUUUGGGGGGGUUCCACUCUUUGGGGUCCCACUUUUGAGGUCCCACUUUUGGGGUUCCCCUCUUUGGGGUCCCUCUUUUUUGGGGGGGUUCCACUCUUUGGGUUCCACUUUUGGGGUCCCUCCCUUUGAAGUCCGACAUUUGGGGUCCCACUUUUGGGGUCUCUCUCUUUGGGGUCCCACUUUUGAGGUCCCACUUUUGGGGUCCCUCUCUUUGGGGUCCCUCUUUUUUGGGGGGGUUCCACUCUUUGGGUUCCACUUUUGGGGUCCCUCUGUUUGGGGUCCCACUUUUUGGGGUCCCUCUCUUUGGUCUCCCUCUUUUUUGGGGGGGUCCAUCUUUUUGGUGUCCCACUUUUGGGGUCCCACUUUGGGGUCCCUCUCUUUGGGUUCCCAUUUUGGGGUCCUACUUUGGGGUCCCUCUCUUUGGGGGGUCCCACUUUUGGGGUCCCACUUUUGGGGCCCCACUCUUUGGGGUCCCUCUUUUUCUUGGGGGGGCCUCUUUUUGGUGUCCCACUUUUGGGGUCCCACUUUGGGGUCCCUCUCUUUGGUCUCCCUCUUUUUGGGGUCCUAUUUUGGGGUCCCUCUUUUUGGGAUCCUACUUUGGGGUCCCUCUCUUUGGGGUCCCUCUCUUUGGGGUCCCACUUUUGGGGUCCCUCUCUUUGGGGUCCCUCUUUUUGGG
ensembl:lncRNA